GAUACCACAGUUCCAUAUCUAGGAUAUAUCUACCACAGUUCCACAUCUAGGAUAUAUCUACCACAGUUACUUAUCUAGGAUUCAUCUAACAUAGUGCCAUAUCUAGGAUAUAUCUACCACAGUUCCAUAUCUAGCAUAUAUCUACCACAGUUCCAUAUCUUGGAUUCAUCAACCACAGUUCCAUAUCUAGAAUAUAUCUACCACAGUUCCACAUCUAGGAUAUAUCUACCACAGUUCCAAUAUCUAGGAUUCAUCAACCACAGUUCCAUAUCUAGGAUACCACAGUUCCAUAUCUAGGAUAUAUCUACCACAUUCCCAUAUCUAGGAUAUAUCUACAACAGUUCCAUAUCUAGGAUUCAUCUACCACAGUUCCAUAUCUAGGAUAUAUCUACCACAGUUCCACAUCUAGGAUAUAUCUACCACAGUUCCAAUAUCUAGGAUUCAUCAACCACAGUUCCAUAUCUAAGGAUAUAUCUACCGCAGUUCCAUAUCUAGGAUAUAUCUACCACAGUUUCAUAGGGAAAAAGGUCUCCUAUAUAUAACUGCUCAUAAGGCAUUUCUUCUGUAUUUGAUUUUGUUAUUCUUCAAAGUGCUUUUCCAAGUUGUUUUAAAUUAGUAUGACUUGAUGUACUUUUGAUUGGUUGUACGCCGAAUGUGUUUUAAUUUGGUUCAUACUAAACAAGUGUAUUGAAAUGUGCUUUCUGAAAUCGUAACGUAUAAAAUAACUUUGGGGUAUAUAUACCAGGGUGAAUAGGGGGAUAUUUCUUCAAAAAAAAUAUAUUCGUUUACAUGUUCUCUAUAAAUGACCAAACGGCUGGACCGAAUGGGCUGAUAUUUUUUGUGGACACUCAUGGUCGUCUUUGUGGUUAACUUAUCGCACUUAUCACACACUUGAUAAUAAAAACUUACUCUUACAAAAAGAUUGCAUUUUGGAAAUUUCCAAUUUUAUUUUUUAAAUUUAAUGUUAACAAGGAAACCCUGACACUGGUCAUAUAUUUUAACACUUUUUGACAAAAUCAUUUUUUUCUGUAAAGAUUUUUUAAAAUAUUUAUUAAUACUCGCUGUUUGUUUGUGAUUCCUUGGGCAUAAGUUAGUAGGAUUUUACUUGUAAGCUUAACCUGCUUUCUGUGACUAAACAGCUUUAAAUCUCUUAUGUUCAAAAUAUGUAAAAUUAUGUCAGAAAUAUGUAAAUAUAUAUACCAUGAUAUGUA